GGUGGCUUGGGGAGUGGGGAAAGAUGAAUAGAGAUAAGAAAAAGGACGUUGGGGCAGAGAGGAAGCGGCUAUUUCUACGCUCAGUGCUCGGAACCGUGGGCACUAAGAAUGGUUUGUAGCCGGACAUCA